GGAGGCGGGGCCUGCCGCCGGGGGCCGGAGGCGGGGCCUGCCGCCGCUGGUGACGUCAUGGGGAAUCGGGGCGGGCUCGGUGCUGCCGCUUCGCCGUUGGGGCGCGGGCUCUCGGCAGCGGGGCGGAGUCUCGCGCCCACGGGGGAGCACGGCGCGCGCGGGAGCCGCCCUCCGUCUCCCGACGCGAGCUCCGGGCUUUGUCCCGAGCUAGGGCGGGGCGGGGCGGACGGGAGCAGCUCGGCUUGGAAGUCCUUGCGCUCGCGCGAAGAACUCUGGAAGCCUGGGUUCCUUCCAGGGGGCGGGCGCCGAGGUCGCGGUUGCGCGCGGCGCGUCUGCGGUGCCUCAGUUUCCCUAAUCUGGGACGCUGAGACGCGGUCGGCCGCGUUGAGUGCUCCGGGACUCGCAGAAGUCUGCAAGCGUGGGGAAGAGAAGUUUCCUUUCUGCAAGGAAGAAGCCGAAACAGUGGUCCGCUUAGUGGUAACAAAUCUUGCUGAGACAAACUCCGAGUCAGCCUGAAGCUAGAAAGGAGAGCCAGAGAUAAUGCAUUAGAAUUUACCCUAAAGAUGUACCUGGAUCCAGAAGAUAUUGCUUUGGAAGACAAGGGGAGAGGUAUAGUGAUGAUACAAGUCAACUCAUUUCUAAUUAGAUUGAGCGUCUUUUCCUAAAGGAGUAUAAAUUUGUACAACCAUUCACUAUGUGACCCAGAAGUUCCACUCUUAAUAAUACACCAAAGAGAAACUCAGACACAUGUGUUCCAGGACACAUGUACAAGAAUAUUCUUUGGACAUUUUUGUAAUAAUCCCAAAUGAGAAACAACCGCAAUGUCCACUAGUGCUAGAAAGGAUAAAUGAAUUGUGAUAUAAUGAUACAAUGGAAUACUAUACAGGGAUAAAAAUGAGUGAACAACAGCUACAUGCAACAACAUAGGUGAAUCCUUAAAACAUACUGAGUAAAAGGAAUAUGAAAUAAAAUAAUUUAUAUAGUAUAAUUGUUUUUAUAU
rnacentral:lncRNA from 13 species